UUUCCGCUGUUUGCGCGUCUUCCUGAGCCCUUGUGGAUGUGUGAGGGAGUGUUUUGGACGGGUUUGCACAGCCCUGGAUCAGCAGGUCACUGGUUGGAAGCUUGAGAAGGUCUUCGAGCUUUGUUGAGCUGAACGUGUACCUUUUGAGGCUGGUUUAGAAGGUGUUCUAACCUAAGCGAGAGUGCGAUUGAGCCUUGGAUCAUCAUUAGUUGACUUGUGAGAGCUCUUGGAAACUUAUCUU